AUUGAACGCUGGCGGCAUGCCUUACACAUGCAAGUCGAACGGUAGAGGGGGCAACCCCUUGAGAGUGGCGAACGGGUGAGUAAAGCAUCGGAACGUGCCCAGUAGUGGGGGAUAGCCCGGCGAAAGCCGGAUUAAUACCGCAUACGACCUACGGGUGAAAGGGGGGGAUCGCAAGACCUCUCGCUAUUGGAGCGGCCGAUGUCAGAUUAGGUAGUUGGUGGGGUAAAGGCCUACCAAGCCGACGAUCUGUAGCUGGUCUGAGAGGACGACCAGCCACACUGGGACUGAGACACGGCCCAGACUCCUACGGGAGGCAGCAGUGGGGAAUUUUGGACAAUGGGCGCAAGCCUGAUCCAGCCAUGCCGCGUGCGGGAAGAAGGCCUUCGGGUUGUAAACCGCUUUUGUCAGGGAAGAAAUCCUUUGAGCUAAUACCUCGGGGGGAUGACGGUACCUGAAGAAUAAGCACCGGCUAACUACGUGCCAGCCGCCGCGGUAAGAC
rnacentral:rRNA from 1 species